UGUGUUGUAAGUGUUUAAGGGCGCAUGGUGGAUGCCUUGGCACUAGGAGCCGAUGAAGGACGUGGGAGA
rnacentral:rRNA from 1 species